CCUGCCUAUCUCAGGGAGGCAGAGGAUUUGACCAGAGUCAUAGAACAAGUUGGCCCUAAGGCCGGAACAAGAGUCCAGAGCCCCUGACCACUAUUAGGAUUAUGCACAGGCCAAGGGCGGUGUGGUGGACCCACCGUGGUGGACGAGGUCAAGGACAUCUGCGGAUCAGUCGGGGCGCCUAAGUUUUCACUCCCGAAACCCACCUCUUCUGAAGCUUAACUGAUCCUUGGCGACAGCAGGAGAAACCACCAUUCCCACAACUGGCAGAAUCACUUUGGAAACUCCCGUUGCCCCCAGGCUGUCUCCCAGUCCACCCGUGUAAAUUCGUACAGCCAUCAUGGAAAACAGUAUGGAGGUUCCUCAAAAAAUUAAAAAUGGAACUACCGUAUGAUCCAGCAAUCUCCCUUUUGGGUAUAUAUACCGAAAGAUUAUGAAGUCAGUAACUGAAAGAGAUAUCUGCACUGGCGGGCACCAUUAUUCACAAUAACCAAGACGUGGAAAUAACCAAUGUCCUUCCAUGAAUGAAUGGAUAACGAUGUGCUGUGUGUAUAUACAGUGAAAUGUUAUUCAGACCCAAAAAAGGAAAUCCUGCCAGUUGCCACAUGGAUGAGCUUGGAGGACAUUAUGCUAAGUGAAAUAAGCCAGACAGAAAAACAAAUACUAUUUGGUUUCGCUUAUGUGGAAUCUAAAAAAACCAAAAACAAACAGUUGAACUCCUAAAAACAGAGCAGAAAGGCGGUUGCCAGGGGGUGGGGGGGGGGGGAAAGGGUACAAACUUUUAGUUAUAAGAUGCCUAAGUUUUGGGCGCCUGGGUGGCUCAGUCGGUUGAGUGUCAGACUUUGGCUCAGGUCAUGACCUUGCUGUCCCUGAGUUCGAGACCCGCGUGGGGCUCUGUGCUGACAGCUCAGAGCCUGGAGCCUGUUUCAGAUUCUGUGUCUCCCUCUCUCUCUGCCCCUCCCCUGCUCAUGCUCUGUCUCUCUGUCAAAAAUAAACAUUAAAAAAAUUUUUUAAAAGUAA